AAAGCAGCACUGUUGUAAAUUUUUUUCAUUAUGUUACCUACUAUGCAAGUAUAAAACAAACAAAAAAGUCAACUUUAUCUCUGCAAUAAUUCCAGGCUAGACAAACAUUAAUACAAGAAUAGUAAAAUGGUGGCAACUUUUACAGGGAUAAAUUGUACCUUUUACAGAGUGAAAAGCAGCUUUUGUUUGAAAGUGAAAGCAAAAUAAGGGUUCUCACAGCUAUGUGCCACCAUGAAUGUUAACUACAAAGGCUGUUGCGAAAAUACAGUCCAGUGAUGAUUCAGUCUGAUAGCUAGGCCGAUACUGUAAUUACUCAUCAAUUUCCAAGAACGUGAAUUGAUUAUUUCCAAAAAAAGUCUUGUUAUGUAAGAUGCUAAUGUAAAGGUUUUAAUAAGUUAAUCUUGAUCAGUUUUAUGUGUGAAUAAAUAAAAUGUUUUUAUUUGGGAAAAUAAAAUAUUAAAGUAAGUGAGGUGUUUUAAAUUUUAAGUCAUAACCGUAAGUGACAAAUGUUUAUUAGUGAAUCAGCUGAAGGCUAGACAUCAGAAGCAGGAGAGGCGAGAGUACACAAACUUCACGAGAUACUAAGCACUGUAUUGUCAAGAUGAUGACGUUUUGCUUCAUUGCAGCUUUGCUCCUCUUUGCUGGCUUGCCAGCACCCACGGCAAGUCUCGGGUGCCUGUCAAACUCUAACUGUGUCAGCUAUUGUUCUGGUUGUAUAUACGGCGGCACCCCAAAAUGCGCCCUUAAAACCACCGGCACAUGCCAAUGCCUUGGGUGCGGACCAUAGCCACAUGGUCUGAUGUAGAACAAUAAGACUUCCAAGCAAAACAGAAGACAUGCAGAUUUUCGUAUUUUUAUCAACAGCUUGGAAAAAAUAAAUUAAAAGAUGAAAACGCAUUUCAAAUUGAUUUUGACUGAUUUCCUCUCUGACUGCCUAAGGCAAUUAUUUUACCCUGAGAAGAAUAAUAACAGUAGUUAUUCACUAAAUUGGUAAAAGUAUUUGUUGUCAGAAAUAAUAAGACAGAAUAAUUGUUUGCAACAGGUGGUUUGUAGGCCUGAAGGGCUGGGUGUUCUUUUAACAUGGCACGUUGAUAAAUGAUGAUGAUGAUUAUUAUUAAACUUUACGAGGACUGUUUUUUUUUCCCAAAACAAGUUUGUCUAAACAGUCCUUCUUCGAACCACACGCGUGCUUGACCUUGCAGAUCAUGUGUGUCGUAGAAGAUGCCAAAGUUGGCACAGAUUUUCUGGAGGAAAGUAUUACAGCAUUUGAAGAUUUCGUUCAAUCUGUAGACGUUGUAGCUUUCAAUAAGAUCUAAGCAUGGUUGGUAUUGUGACCAAACCAAUAUUGCCAAUAAACUGUGGACCACAACUUUAUAUAUAAACCUUCAGCAAUUUUUAAAUGAAGAAGAUUUUCGUAUAUUGUUGAGUGACUUAAACAAAUUUGAAUUCUUGUUUUUGACCAUAAUUCAUGUGACUUAAUUCUCAAUAAAUAUUUGUCAGAACUUUUAUGAAAUGGCUAAAUCAAUUUGUGUUGUUUUCUGCUAGAGGUCAAAAUUAACAAUUUUGAGUUCCCUGCUCACUUAGAAAUGGAAAAACCUGAAAGAUGCUGGUCAAAGAUGAAUCAUGCAACUGCGAGAAUAUAUGAAAUAUGACAGGAUUCUGUCUUUAGUUGGAGCAUGCAGUUUAUUUUGACUCUAUUUUCCAAUAAAUUUAGGUAAAACUCAUAACCUUAAAUAAAAAGUAGUACUGUAAUAAAUGUUUUCAAUGGGUUAUUAUGUAGUUAAUAAAACAAAAAGUAAUCUUUAUGUUUGUAAUAAUUUCUGGCUAGACAAAUACUGAUACAUGAGCAUAUCAAAUUAUUUGCAACUUUUUCAGCAGCUUUUGGUACAAACUGAACGCAAAAUAGGGGUUCUCACAUCAAUGGAUAUGAACUUCAAAGGCUUUUGCAUCAAAACGGCCCAAGGAAUGACUCAGUCUGAUAGCUAGGCCGAUAUUGUAAUUAGUCGUUAAUUUCCAACAACGUGAAUUGAUAAUUUUCUCAAAAAACGUCAUAUUAUUAAUAUGUAAAAUGCUUAUGUAAAGGUUUUAAUAAAUUCAUCAUGAUCAGUUUUAUAUGUGAAUAAAUAUAGUGAUGUUAUUUGGAAAAAAUAUAAUAUUAAAUCAAGUGAGGUGUUUAAAAUUUAAGUCAUAACCGUAGGCGACAAAUGUUUAUUAGUGAAUCAGCUGAACGCUAGUCAUCAGAAACAGGAGACACCAGAGUAGACAAUCUUCACAAGAUACUAAGCACUGUAUUGUCAAGAUGAUGAAGUUUUGCGUCAUUGCAGCUUUGCUCCUCUUUGCAGGCUUGCCAGCACCCACGACGAGUAGUGGGUGCAAAACACAUUCUGACUGUACCAGCUCCUGUUCUCGUUGUACACCAGCAGGCGUAUUCGGCGGCACUCCAUACUGCGUCCUUAAAACCACCGGAACAUGUCAAUGCCUGGGAUGCCAAUGAUAGGCCUACUGAUGUGAUAAACAAGACUUCCAAGCAAAACAGACGACACGCAAAUUUUCAAAUUUUCAUAUUUAGUUAAACAGCUUGGAGCAAAAUAAAGUAUGAAAAUUAAUUUAUAACUGAUUUUGACUGAAUUCCUCUUUGAUUGUCCUAGGACAAUAAUUUUACCCUGAACAGAAUAAUAACAUUAAUUGUUCGGUAAAUGGAAACAAGUUUUUUUUUUGUUGAAAUAAAUAACUAUAAUUAUUACUGUUUGACUCAGGAUUUGGUUGGCUUGUAGACCAAAUAACGAUCGCCAAAUUUAACCACAUUUUGCAUUCAGAUUGGACCUUUUUGUGAUCAAGACCGGUCCAUAGAUGGUAGAUUGAAAUCUAAUGUAUGUAUGACGUAGUUACCUGUAAAUGCAUUAUUCAGUCUCAGUGUCAAGAAAUAGGGCCUACUCAUCUUCUUUACUAGAUUCCAAAGGAAAAACUUUUUUGUAGUAUUGAAGUGUUUUGGGUCACGCCCAAAAUUAUUUGUUGUAACUUAAAUUAUCGAUCUUGAAAUAAUAAAAUAAAUUGGGUAUAUAGGGGUCGCUUGUAAAAUGCCAUCAAAUUGGAGAGUGGGCGAAUGCAUAAUACCUUUAUUUUGUUUUUACAGUCUAAAUUUAUGCAAUUCAUUUGUUCUCAUACAAUGUUUGACAACCUAGUUUGAGAGUUUGCAUAUAUUAUAAUGAAUAAGCAUUAGGCCUACUUUCAUUUUUCUGUUUUUUAAUAAGUGGAAUGCUAAAGUUCAUAAAAUUUUAGGCUACAUCACCUCAAAGAGUUUCUUUUUUAUUUGAAGUGAAAGUAUAAACUAAAAGAAAUAUGCAAAAAAUAAUGUAUGUGAAUCAAAAUAUGAGACCAGUCCUUCAAAUGAAUUAACAUUUGUGAACACAGUGCUCUGUUGAAUUACGACAACAACCUUGCGUGUUUAUAUUUGGAAUCAUGGAAGACAGCCCUCUCUUAGGUAUUAAUCUACUACUUCUCUAUAUAAACAAAUAUUUCAUGUGGACAGAAUAAAAUUACACCUCUUUGGAAUGCCUGCAAAAAGUAUUUGGAAAAGCAAAAGAACAUAGAUUUUCAAUCUUUAUACCUACUGGAUCCUAAAAAGGGAGAUAAUCUAAGAAAAAAAAUGGGAAAGUAUAGAAAAAAUAUUGAUAUGAAUAGAAAAGAACAUUAAUCGUAGCCUAGGCCUACUAAGAUUCUUUAAUUAAAAAAAAACCUACGUGUAUUAUUAAUCAACAUCUGUAAGAACUUUGUUUGCAGUGUGUGAAGGUGUAUUUGUCUCUUAUUGUGUUGUAAAUGCCCUGUAUUAAUU